rnacentral:rRNA from 1 species
CCUACGGGUGGCAGCAGUGGGGAAUAUUGGACAAUGGGCGAAAGCCUGAUCCAGCCAUGCCGCGUGUGUGAAGAAGGCCUUCGGGUUGUAAAGCACUUUCAGUGGGGAAGAAAGCCUUGGGGCUAAUACCCUCGAGGAAGGACAUCACCCACAGAAGAAGCACCGGCUAACUCCGUGCCAGCAGCCGCGGUAAUACGGAGGGUGCGAGCGUUAAUCGGAAUUACUGGGCGUAAAGCGCGCGUAGGCGGUCUGAUAAGCCGGUUGUGAAAGCCCCGGGCUCAACCUGGGAACGGCAUCCGGAACUGUCAGGCUAGAGUGCAGGAGAGGAAGGUAGAAUUCCCGGUGUAGCGGUGAAAUGCGUAGAGAUCGGGAGGAAUAGCAGUGGCGAAGGCGGCCUUCUGGACUGACACUGACGCUGAGGUGCGAAAGCGUGGGUAGCAAACAGGAUUAGAUACCCUAGUAGC